GUUGUCCUUGUCAUGUGGCACAUAACACCGCCAAAGCUGCAGGAGUGGGAUUUUUUAAAGAUUUUUUAAAGUGUCCGGUUUUGAUUUGGAGGAUAUGGUAGUGGACAUCGGUUACUGGUUCAAGGGUAGCACAAAUCGGAAAGGAUACCUGACAGAUGGUGAAAUUCGUACGCAAGCUAUGUUCCAAGUUUAUGGUUCCAGCAGCUCUGCAGUGCCAUGAGGAGCCUUGUGAAAUUGCCUUGAAAGAAAAGGCAAACCAUUUACCAGGUUAGUAUUU